rnacentral:rRNA from 1 species
GAUGAACGCUGGCGGCGUGCCUAAUACAUGCAAGUCGAGCGAACGGACGAGAAGCUUGCUUCUCUGAUGUUAGCGGCGGACGGGUGAGUAACACGUGGAUAACCUACCUAUAAGACUGGGAUAACUUCGGGAAACCGGAGCUAAUACCGGAUAAUAUUUUGAACCGCAUGGUUCAAAAGUGAAAGACGGUCUUGCUGUCACUUAUAGAUGGAUCCACGCUGCAUUAGCUAGUUGGUAAGGUAACGGCUUACCAAGGCAACGAUGCAUAGCCGACCUGAGAGGGUGAUCGGCCACACUGGAACUGAGACACGGUCCAGACUCCUACGGGAGGCAGCAGUAGGGAAUCUUCCGCAAUGGGCGAAAGCCUGACGGAGCAACGCCGCGUGAGUGAUGAAGGUCUUCGGAUCGUAAAACUCUGUUAUUAGGGAAGAACAUAUGUGUAAGUAACUGUGCACAUCUUGACGGUACCUAAUCAGAAAGCCACGGCUAACUACGUGCCAGCAGCCGCGGUAAUACGUAGGUGGCAAGCGUUAUCCGGAAUUAUUGGGCGUAAAGCGCGCGUAGGCGGUUUUUUAAGUCUGAUGUGAAAGCCCACGGCUCAACCGUGGAGGGUCAUUGGAAACUGGAAAACUUGAGUGCAGAAGAGGAAAGUGGAAUUCCAUGUGUAGCGGUGAAAUGCGCAGAGAUAUGGAGGAACACCAGUGGCGAAGGCGACUUUCUGGUCUGUAACUGACGCUGAUGUGCGAAAGCGUGGGGAUCAAACAGGAUUAGAUACCCUGGUAGUCCACGCCGUAAACGAUGAGUGCUAAGUGUUAGGGGGUUUCCGCCCCUUAGUGCUGCAGCUAACGCAUUAAGCACUCCGCCUGGGGAGUACGACCGCAAGGUUGAAACUCAAAGGAAUUGACGGGGACCCGCACAAGCGGUGGAGCAUGUGGUUUAAUUCGAAGCAACGCGAAGAACCUUACCAAAUCUUGACAUCCUUUGACAACUCUAGAGAUAGAGCUUUCCCCUUCGGGGGACAAAGUGACAGGUGGUGCAUGGUUGUCGUCAGCUCGUGUCGUGAGAUGUUGGGUUAAGUCCCGCAACGAGCGCAACCCUUAAGCUUAGUUGCCAUCAUUAAGUUGGGCACUCUAAGUUGACUGCCGGUGACAAACCGGAGGAAGGUGGGGAUGACGUCAAAUCAUCAUGCCCCUUAUGAUUUGGGCUACACACGUGCUACAAUGGACAAUACAAAGGGCAGCGAAACCGCGAGGUCAAGCAAAUCCCAUAAAGUUGUUCUCAGUUCGGAUUGUAGUCUGCAACUCGACUACAUGAAGCUGGAAUCGCUAGUAAUCGUAGAUCAGCAUGCUACGGUGAAUACGUUCCCGGGUCU